ACUUAUAGAUGGACCCGCGCCGUAUUAGCUAGUUGGUAAGGUAACGGCUUACCAAGGCGACGAUACGUAGCCGACCUGAGAGGGUGAUCGGCCACACUGGAACUGAGACACGGUCCAGACUCCUACGGGAGGCAGCAGUAGGGAAUCUUCCGCAAUGGGCGAAAGCCUGACGGAGCAACGCCGCGUGAGUGAUGAAGGGUUUCGGCUCGUAAAACUCUGUUAUUAGGGAAGAACAAACGUGUAAGUAACUGUGCACGUCUUGACGGUACCUAAUCAGAAAGCCACGGCUAACUACGUGCCAGCAGCCGCGGUAAUACGUAGGUGGCAAGCGUUAUCCGGAAUUAUUGGGCGUAAAGCGCGCGUAGGCGGUUUCUUAAGUCUGAUGUGAAAGCCCACGGCUCAACCGUGGAGGGUCAUUGGAAACUGGGAAACUUGAGUGCAGAAGAGGAAAGUGGAAUUCCAUGUGUAGCGGUGAAAUGCGCAGAGAUAUGGAGGAACACCAGUGGCGAAGGCGACUUUCUGGUCUGUAACUGACGCUGAUGUGCGAAAGCGUGGG
rnacentral:rRNA from 1 species